rnacentral:ncRNA from 1 species
UAUCGCUCAAAAAGAGGGGAACACGGAAGCCGGUGAAAGUCCGGCACGGUCGCGCCACUGUGAUCGCGAAAGCGAAAGUCAGACACGAAUCCUCGGAAGAAAACUCAUGACGCGUCAUCACAAGGAGUUCCCA